rnacentral:rRNA from 1 species
GUGAGGAAUAUUGGUCAAUGGGCGCAAGCCUGAACCAGCCAUGCCGCGUGCAGGAUGACUGCCUUAUGGGUUGUAAACUGCUUUUAUACGGGAAGAAACCCCUGAACGUGUUCAGGGUUGACGGUACUGUAGGAAUAAGGAUCGGCUAACUCCGUGCCAGCAGCCGCGGUAAUACGGAGGAUCCAAGCGUUAUCCGGAUUUAUUGGGUUUAAAGGGUGCGUAGGCGGACCAGUAAGUCAGAGGUGAAAUCCCACAGCUCAACUGUGGAACUGCCUUUGAUACUGUUGGACUUGAGUACAUUUGAAGUGGGCGGAAUGUGUCAUGUAGCGGUGAAAUGCUUAGAUAUGACACAGAACACCGAUUGCGAAGGCAGCUCACUAAACUGUCACUGACGCUGAAGCACGAAAGCGUGGGGAUCAAACAGGAUUAGAAACCCUGGUAGUCC